UGGGGAAUUUUGGACAAUGGGGGAAACCCUGAUCCAGCCAUCCCGCGUGUGCGAUGAAGGCCUUCGGGUUGUAAAGCACUUUUGGCAGGAAAGAAACGUCAUGGGUUAAUACCCCGUGAAACUGACGGUACCUGCAGAAUAAGCACCGGCUAACUACGUGCCAGCAGCCGCGGUAAUACGUAGGGUGCAAGCGUUAAUCGGAAUUACUGGGCGUAAAGCGUGCGCAGGCGGUUCGGAAAGAAAGAUGUGAAAUCCCAGAGCUCAACUUUGGAACUGCAUUUUGAACUACCGGGCUAGAGUGUGUCAGAGGGAGGUGGAAUUCCGCGUGUAGCAGUGAAAUGCGUAGAUAUGCGGGGGAACACCGAUGGCGAAGGCAGCCUCCUGGAAUAACACUGACGCUAAUGCACGAAAGCGUGGGGAGCAAACAGG
rnacentral:rRNA from 1 species